AGAGUUUGAUCCUGGCUCAGGAUGAACGCUAGCGGCAGGCCUAACACAUGCAAGUCGAGGGGUAGAGUUCUUCGGAACUUGAGACCGGCGCACGGGUGCGUAACGCGUAUGCAAUCUACCUUAUACAGGGGAAUAGCCCAGAGAAAUUUGGAUUAAUGCCUCAUGGUAUUAUAGAGUGGCAUCACUUUAUAAUUAAAGUUCCAACGGUAUAAGAUGAGCAUGCGUCCCAUUAGUUAGUUGGUAAGGUAACGGCUUACCAAGACAAUGAUGGGUAGGGGUCCUGAGAGGGAGAUCCCCCACACUGGUACUGAGACACGGACCAGACUCCUACGGGAGGCAGCAGUGAGGAAUAUUGGUCAAUGGGCGCAAGCCUGAACCAGCCAUGCCGCGUGCAGGAAGAAGCAUCUAUGGUGUGUUUUCUGCUUUUAUACAGGAAGAAACAACUCUACGUGUAGAGUCUUGACGGUACU
rnacentral:rRNA from 1 species